UCUACGGGAGGCUGCAGUGGGGAAUUUUGCGCAAUGCUCGUAAGAGUGACGCAGCGACGCCGCGUGAAUGACGAAGGCCUUCGGGUCGUAAAGUUCGUUUGACAGGGAAGAAAAUGCCUAUAAGUAACUGUGUAUGUAUUGAUGGUACAUGUAUAAGCAGCCUCGGCCAACUCCGUGCCAGCAGCCGCGGUAAUAAGGAGGGGGCGAGCGUUGUUCGGAGUGUUUGGGGGGAAAGAGCACGUAGGCGGUGUUGUAAGUCAUUAGUCAAAGACUAGCGCUCAACUUUGGUAAGGCUAGUGAUACUAUACUACUAGAGAAUCAGGGAGGAUUGCGGAAUUCAUGGUGUAGCGGUGAAAGGCGUAGAUAUCA
rnacentral:rRNA from 1 species